CCCCCUGUGUGCCGCUCACAGCCCGGCAGUCGGAGCUGCCGCAGAGCCCAGCACGGUUCUGGAGGGAAACGUGCGCCCUUCCCAGCCGUGUUUACUGCACGUUGUGGCAGCGCUGCAGGCUGUGGCUCAGCUCUGCACGUGUUCUCCUCUCUCCCCUCCUCUCACUCCUCUGGUAACUUCCGCAUCCAUCCCGAUCCUGCUUGGUGCUGGAAGGUGCUGGCUUGCAGUGCAGUCUUUGCUUUGCAAGCACUGUGCAGGGAGCAGCAGGAUGAGGAAACAGCCAUACGUACACACUGCGUUUCCCACGACUUGCUCUUCUUCCAAGCAGUGGUUCUGAGCCCUGGAAGUCAUCCUCUGACACGACAAGAAAAGCUGGCCUGGAGUCACUGUGAGCACGUAGGCUGUGUUGUCAUUGCGGGGCUGUGGCAGCUGCCAGUUGGAUUGGAAGCAUCGCGUGGCACUGCUGUGGGUGAGUACACGGCUGGUGUUGUGGGGAUGCCUGUGCUGCUCGUGUGUUUUACUCCUCAGGCGUGGGAGCUGUAGCAUCCGUGUACAUCCCCAAAGUGCCAGUGCUUUGGGACACCCGCCCUGCCACGCGGGGUCCUGUCUUUGCUGAUACUGUCACAGCAAGAGCUCAGUUGGUGUCCCACUGCAAUGCCGUGAGAUGGCAGCGCAGGA
rnacentral:lncRNA from 1 species